rnacentral:lncRNA from 1 species
GAGGCUACUAUGCUAUCGGAAGCACGGAGCCUUUCGUGCUUCCAGCUCAUUUUCGAUGUUGCGACUUUCGAAUCGUCGAUCGGCUCCGUUAAACUUGAUCUAGAGUAUUUGGAGUACCUAGAAAAUAAAUUUUAUGAUUUUACGAUAUCAUUUGCCUAGUGAACGAAGGGGCUCAAAAUCAACGGCUGAAAAUAAAAAUCUUACAAAAUAUAAUAAUAUGACAUUAAAAUUUUAAAUCAAAGAUAUUGAUCUUGUUUUAUAUAGUAUAAAGAAUUUUCUAUCAAAAUUUCACGUGAUUUGGAUAUUUCUACACCGUUAAACUUGCAAACGGCUCACUACGGCCAUUGAAAUUUGUUGAUUGUGAGCCCACUCGAUCACUAGGCAAAUGGUAUCGAAAAAUAAUAAAAUUUAUUUUCUAAGUACUCCAAAUACUCUAGAUCAAGUUUAACGGAGCCGAUCGACGAUUCGAAAGUCGCAACAUCGAAAAUGAGCUGGAAGCACGAAAGGCUCCGUGCUUCCGAUAGCAUAGUAGCCUCACUCUAUAUAAAUAUAGAAUUAUGCUACUAUACUAUUAAUAGUACCAAGUUCUUGGUACUAUUGAGUUUUCGGCCGUUGGAUAACAGGAUGUGCGGUUAGGAUGAUAGUGGUCUCCGGUUAAAUUGCUAGUGGUCCCCUAGGGUUGAGUGGGUGGUUGGUUUAAUAGUAUAAUCUAAUGGGUGAAAAUGAUCAAAGGGUAGAUCUAACGGUAGAAAACUCAAUAGUACCAAGGGCUUAGUACUAUCGAUAGUAUAGUAGCCAGACUAUAUGUAUAUAUAUA